GUCACUUUGCCGGAGUGGUUAACGGGAUCGCCUGCUAUUGCAUUAGCUAAGCGGUUGGGCUUUGCCCGCGUGUGUUCGAAUCGCACAGGUGACG